rnacentral:sRNA from 1 species
AUUCAAACCACCACACUCGGCCUAUACAGAUUUAGAAUUGCUCUAUUUUUCCAUUGAGUUGACCACUCAGUCACCAAGGGACACUUCCUGUGCUGGUUUAUCCUGUCUGCUACAUGCCCAGCUCCUGAUUUCUCCUGACUUUUGUUUGGGACGCCUUUCCCUCUCCUUUCAAGUUCUAGCCUUUUCCAGUUGUCUGGAAAACACAGCAUACCAACAGGAAUUUUGUUAUACUUUAAGGUUUUAUGGAGCAGUGCAUUGGACACAACACAACAGAGGCCUCUUCUUGCUGUUUUACGUCAUCUGAAGCCUUGGUUGGAAAGACUCCAAAGAUUUGGGGCUAGAACGACUGUCUGGAGAUGUUGUUAUUCAUAUCUGGUACCUGGAGUUGGAUAACGUGACAUGAGGCCCAGAUAAUGAUAUUGACUGACGUGUCUACCUGUGGUUGCUACAUACUUGGGCUUCCUUAUGACGUGUCUCAGACUUCCUAAACAGUCGCUCAGACUGCUAAGAGUGACUGACUGUCUCAUCAGACAAAGCAUACACAGCAGCUUCCUUUAAUCUCGCCUCCGACGCCAGCGUUGCUUUUGUAAUACUUUGUGGCUUGAAGGAACCACAAACGGGCCCAGACUGGUGAAGGAGAGGAAAAGCAACUUUCUACCACUCUCCCUGCAGUCCAGAGUCUUAACGAGCCUGCUCGGAUCACCAACUUGCUUGCAUCAAGAUCAUCUGGGGUCCUUGGGAACAGGACUGCUUCUUCUACUCUUCCAAACCAAACUUUCUGGGGAAAGGGCCCAGAAUUGUAACCUUUUAAGCAAGUUUCUCAGAUUCUUCCUAAGUGUACUGUGGUUUGAGGAUCACUGCCCAAAUCUCUUUUCUCCUUUGGUAUUUCAUUUUAAAUAUUCAUGGGAGAGGCAUUCCAGGGAGCCCAGAAAGAGAAGGAGCUGACUAUGUUACUCAGCCUCCUGUCACUAUAACAAAUAGCCAAGACAAUCUCUUAUAGAGAGAAAAGAUUUAUUUUGGCCCAGGGUGCUGGAGUUUCAGUCCGUGGUUGAUUGAUGCUGUUGCUUUAGGGCUAAGUCGAGCUACAUGAGUACACAUCAUGACUGAAGUGCUUGGUAGGACAAAAACCACUUAUAUAAUAGCCAUGGAACAGCAGAAGAAAGGGGGUGGGGGGCCCCACAAUUCCCUCUGAGGGUAUAGCCCCAGUGACCUUAACGCCUCAUACUAGGUCUUAAGGUCUUAAAGGGUUUCCCUUGCUGUCAGUGGAAGGAUCUGGGGACCAAGCCUUUACCACACUAGCCUUUGGGGACACUUCUCCAAGCCACAGCAGUGACUCACAGCUACUCUUCAUGUCACUGAAGUUCUUUGGGAGCCCCAGAACCCUGUGUGGCCAUAGUCAGUGCCACACACAUCUUGCUGAGUUGUAUGAUCCCCCCACCCCCUCCUCCUACACUUUCUGGAGCUACAACCGCAACCUAAAAUAGUUUCCAUCAGAGAGGAUCUUUUUUUUAAAAAAAUAAGGAUUUUCUCAGUGAUUUUUUUUUAAAAUCUUGUUGAUCUAGGCAUAAAAUUCAGUAGAGGUUGAUGAAGUUUAGAUAUCAUUACAGGUUGACCAAUGUCCAGGUAUGCCUGGGUCUGGAGGACUGCAAGAACUUCAGUGCCAGCAUCAGGAUGUUCCGAGAAAAGCGGGGUGAGCUAGUUACCCUUGGAAUAUGCCUUAUGAAUCAGCCUAUGAGUUAAAAUUAAAUGUAUCAGCAAAUAUUAGAUUUGAAAUGUAUGUAGGCUGCAUAAUAAGAAAGACCGGUUUAGAAUGAGAUGUAUUUUUGACUUGUCAGAUGUGUGGCAAGGACCCCGAACAGCUCGUGGUGGUGAAGAUGGAGAUGGCUCUCACCCUUUAAUGACGGUGUGGUAGGGGCCAUGCUACUCCUGUCAGAGUACACCGUGUUUGACAAUAGGGGAAGGAACACAUCGGGGGUAAGGCAUGCUUUUCAGAUCCCGAGAGCUGGAUACAUUGUCAAAGGUACUGUUCAUUUGUAUUAUUAGCAGACAGUCCUUGACCAAAAUGACGGGGUUCCAGGGUGUCACUUCCACCCUGCACAUCAUGUUCUUUUCUUGUAAGGACCUCCAAUGCCUUCCACUCUCCCAUCAUCCACUGCUGUGUUCCUCUUCCCAAAGAGUCUCUGGCUUAUUUCACUUAGCAGCACGAUGAUCUUUACCUCCCUCCAUUUCCCUGCUAAUGACUUAAUUUAACUUCUUUAUGGCUGAGUCAAACUCCGCCAUGUAUUUUUUUUUUUUUGCUUAUUCUACGUAUUUUAAUUUUUAAAGCCUUUUAUCUUUUAAGGAUGUACACAUGGGCAAGAUCUACUAAGUUAAUGAACGCCGAGGCUGACCGAAGGACUUGGAAUUUGUGAUCAGUGCUGCAACAAAACCCGGAUGUGUAGAUAUCUCUGUGGUGCGUUGGCUUCAGCUAUAUUCCCUGGAGCAGUGGUACAGUUGGAUCACACAGUAGGGCUGCUGGUUAAUCCUGGUUGUCAACUCGAUACACCUGGAAAGAGAGAGCCUCAACUGAAGAAUUGCCUUAAUCAGAUUGACCUGUGGGCGUGACUGGGCAAUUUGUAGGCAGGUGGGCCUUGGAUGUUUAAGUAGUUGAAUCCAGGAGCCAGCCAGUGAGCGGUGCUCCUCCGUGGUUCUGCCUCUGCUUCUGCAUGAGCGCCUGCCCUGUCUUUCCUCCGUGAUGGACUGUGGAAGGAAUUCAGAGAAACAUCACAGUUACAAGGAAGAAAUGCAGAGAUUAUCCAGUGCUCAGAUGGUCAUCAGAUCUGCAGUGUGCAUGUUCCUGGUCAUAUCUAUCUACUGCCCACCAACCCCUCAAAACCAAGCAGACGGUAACAGAGAACAUCCUGGUGGACUCACACGUCUGUGUCCAGCACUCAGGAGACUGAGGCAAGAGGGUUACCAGUUCAAGGCUAGUUUGGGCUACAUGGAAAGAUCUUGUCUAACAAAAACGAUCAUGACCAUCAAAGGCUAUGGGUGUGAUUGUCAGGAUUAAAGUGAAAAGUAGUUCUACUACUUUAGAUUUAGGCUGGUUUCAAGUUAAAAUUAAAAAAAAAUAUUUAGUGGAAAAAUCUUUGCAUGAAAUCCUGUAUUCAUCGCCCAUGUUUCCCUUUUGGGGAAGCCAUCUUUUCUAUUGAUUUUAAAAAGCCCCUUUAUACAUUUAGCAAUUACCUUUUGACUUAUUUAUUAAAAACACAUUACCAGGCUUUGCCUCUUCUAGAUUUUGAAAGCUAGAAAAAGGUUUUGUGGACGUUUAGUCUAAGGCUUUUAUCUCAAAAAGCCAAGGGGGCCAAGGUAAAAAUAGUUAAGUGUCUCCAAUGCACAAUGUUGGCAGUAGAGUCUGGCCUGGGUUCUUGGCAUUUGGAAGUCACACUGUUUCUGCUGGCCACACACUGCUCAUGUCAGCCCCUCGCUCUGCCCUCCCAUGGUAUCUGUUGGUAGCUUUGCCAUCCUAUGUGGAAGAUAGGGCUCGCCUCUCGCCUUCUGUCUCCUGCAACCACACUCAAUUCCUAGGCCAACAAUACUAGGAACUUGGUAGUUCCAAAAAUACUGGCUUUUAGGGAGGGAAUAGGAAGGCAAAGUUUAGAACAGAGGC